CAGUCGCCGCGGGAAUACGGAGGGAGCUAGCGUUGUUCGGAAUUACUGGGCGUAAAGCGCACGUAGGCGGCUAUUCAAGUCAGGGGUGAAAGCCCGGGGCUCAACCCCGGAACUGCCUUUGAAACUAGAUAGCUUGAAUCUUGGAGAGGCGAGUGGAAUUCCGAGUGUAGAGGUGAAAUUCGUAGAUAUUCGGAAGAACACCAGUGGCGAAGGCGACUCGCUGGACAAGUAUUGACGCUGAGGUGCGAAAGCGUGGGGAGCAAACAGGAUUAGAUACCCCUGUAGUCCCUGUCUCUUAUAA
rnacentral:rRNA from 1 species